rfam:Gossypium raimondii Chr02_contig_28, whole genome shotgun sequence.
UGUUAAAAAUUUCAUUCUCUUUUGGUGUUAAAAACUGGUGUGAAUAACUAGAUAGUUACACGUGAUAUGUCACGUAUACCUCAUUCUGACAUACAUGAACUGGUUUUUAACAGUAGAAAUGGAUGAAAUUUUUUAUG